rnacentral:rRNA from 1 species
UACGUAGGGGGCAAGCGUUGCCCGGAUUUAUUGGGCGUAAAGGGCGCGUAGGCGGCUCUGCACGUCCGUUGUGAAAUCGCCCGGCUCAACUGGGCGGGGGCAGCGGAUACGGCGGAGCUUGAGCAAGCUAGGGGGCAAUGGAAUUCCCGGUGUAGUGGUGGAAUGCGUAGAUAUCGGGAGAAACACCAGUGGCGAAGGCGGUUGCGUGGGGCUUUGCUGACGCUGAUGCGCGAAAGCGUGGGGAGCGAUCCGG